ACGAACGCUGGCGGCGUGCCUAAUACAUGCAAGUCGAACGGUCUUUCUAUGGAAGCUUGCUUCCACUGAGAAGAUAGUGGCAACGGGUGAGUAACACGUGGGUAACCUGCCCAUAAGAGGGGGAUAACAUCCGGAAACGGGUGCUAAUACCGCAUAGUUUUCUUGAUCGCAUGAUCGGGAAAGGAAAGACGGCCUUUGUGCUGUCGCUUAUGGAUGGACCCGCGGCGUAUUAGUUAGUUGGUGAGGUAACGGCUCACCAAGACGAUGAUACGUAGCCGACCUGAGAGGGUGAUCGGCCACAUUGGGACUGAGACACGGCCCAAACUCCUACGGGAGGCAGCAGUAGGGAAUCUUCCGCAAUGGACGAAAGUCUGACGGAGCAACGCCGCGUGAGUGAAGAAAGGUUUUCGGAUCGUAAAACUCUGUUGUCAGAGAAGAACAAGUUGGAGAGUAACUGCUCCAGCCUUGACGGUAUCUGACCAGAAAGCCACGGCUAACUACGUGCCAGCCGCUGC
rnacentral:rRNA from 1 species